AUUGAACGCUGGCGGCAGGCCUACCACAUGCAAGUCGAGCGAGCGGCGGACGGGUGAGUAAUGUAUGGGGAGCUGCCCGAUUGAGGGGGAUAACUACUGGAAACGGUAGCUAAUACCGCAUACUAUCGGAUGAACCCAUAUGGGAUUAGCUAGUAGGUGGGGUAAAGGCUCACUUAGGCGACGAUCUCUAGCUGGUCUGAGAGUAUGAUCAGCCACACUGGGACUGAGACACGGCCCCGAUUCCGACGGGAGGCAGCAGUGGGUAAUAUUGCACAAUGGGAGCAAGCCUGAUGCAGCCAUGCCGCGUGUAUGAAGAAGGCCUUAGGGUUGUAAAGUACUUUCAGCGGGGAGGCGUUACCCGCAGAAGAAGCACCGGCUAACUCCGUGCCAGCAGCCGCGGUAAUAA
rnacentral:rRNA from 1 species